ACAUAUGUAACCUAGAAGCAGUCGUGCCGAACGUCAACACACUAAAGACGUAUCCACCCAUCAACUCUCGCCUGUAAAUACAGUCACUUUACCUUACUCGUCUGAUCAUAGAUUUUAUAUCCGUGUACGUGCGUACGACUUCUCACUGCCGACCCGUAAAGGGAGAGUUAUAAGAUGGCAGAGUUUGGGUACGUACUAGGGUUACUCCUGGUUACUCUUACAGAACUCUCAGCACAAGAGGCUUUAAUAACGGGUUUUCAAUCCUCUGUCGUGAAAAAUGGUUCCCUGUACACGUAUCAAGGGACAGUCGACCAACUAUCAAAGCAGACGACAAUCGUACCUGUGAUAACGCAUUUCAAUACCGGAGUCACCAUUACUAGCCUGACCUCUGACCCCGAGAACGAUGUCCUGUUCUUUUACGAAUACUUCACCCAAACCAUAUAUCAGAUAUCAGAUUUUACAUCUUUAAACGUCUAUCAAGCGUCACCGGUACAUGCUGUUUCCAGUUCCUUAAAUACCAACAUAGCCUUUGAUUGGAUAACCCGAAAUCUGUACUGUACUGAUGGUAUUCUAGGAUGGAUAUUGGUGAUACACAUGGGAGCUACGAGGGAGGUAGAUAUGGUACGAAUCCUGCUGGAUACCAACAUGGAGUCACCAGGUGCCAUCACAGUGGACCCAAAGGAAGGUUACAUGUUCUGGUCAGACAUUUACAAAGGAUCUCCCCGUAUAGAACGAGCAUACCUGUCUGGAGAGCGACGCGAGGUGAUUGUAUCCACCAGUCUGCUCAUCAUCGGCGACGUAUCCGCCGACGUCCAGGAGAGACGCAUCUACUGGACAGACAGGAUGCGAAAUACCAUCGAAAGCUGUAUGUAUGACGGCCAGCAAAGGGAGAUCAUUCAUCGGCGGAACAAUUACGUCUUUUCCGACAUCAUGACUGACCUCGCACAUGUUUGUGUCACGGAAGAAUACCAGAAUAUUCUUUUGUGUAUGUACAAAAGUUCUGCCGAGUAUGUGCUGUUAGAAAGGUAUGAUAGACAACCAUACGGACUGGAGGUAUUCGAUAAAUCUCGGAAACCGUCGUCUACGGACAAGUGUGCCCCCAAGUCCUGUCAACACUUUUGUGCUCCCACUCCAGCAGGGGCUACUUGUCUCUGCAAGAAUGGUUACACUCUUCAAGGAGACGAAAAAUCAUGUAUUGCUGACCACGACUUACCAGUGAAGGGAUUACUUUUGGGGAACAGUACACAUGUGUGUGUGAUCGACUUUCUGAAUUUGGAAUCCUUGCCUUUUAAAGCCCCUACCUGUUUUAUAGACAAUCUCCAGGAUACAAUCUUUCUGUCCGUGGAUGUUACGUCCAUGGAUUUAUUUUUUGCUGAUAAGAGAACACGAAGUCUGAAUUCCAUCAAUAUACAAACAAGGAUUAGGAAACAACUUGUCAAUACGGGAAUUGUGUCAGGUUUAGGCUAUGAUUGGGUCGGUCAAAAUUUAUACUGGACUGAAGCAGACACAAGGAAAGUCAAGCUCGUGUCCGUCUCCGUGGCAACACCUAUGUCUAUUGACCUUGUCCUUAGUACCCUCAGCCCGUCUGACGUCACAAUAGAUCCACAUGGAAGAAUGAUUUAUUGGAUAUCAGGAUUAGGCACUCCACAAAAUACAAUACAGGGGAUGUCGACAGAUGGCGGCACGGGCCAGACAACUAUAGUGUCCAGUGGCAAUGAGCUGACGGCGUUGUUCUACGACACCAUGGGAAAUAGGCUAUUCUGGGUGGAGGGUGGAACAUUGAAGAGUUCCUUAGGAAGUGGUAGUGAUAUUACUACACUUAAGGCGCUGGCUACACAACAACACUCGCAGCUCAUAAUCUAUAAGAUGUACGCAGUUUGGAUCAGCUUUACGAGUUCUCAGAUCCACACCAUGUCCAUGGUGACUAAACAGCUUCUAACUCGAGCCAUCGACGGGUUUGGGGACGUAACGGGGAUGGCCGUAUUUGAUGAAACAAUACAAUCACAACAACCAGAACCAUGUUCCGUCCUGAACGGUGGAUGUUCCCAUAUAUGCAUACCAACGUCCAAUACGGGGAGGCGCUGCGUUUGUACCUUUGGUUUUACACUGCAGCUAGACAAGAAGUUCUGCAAGAGCAAACCUCCUCUGACGAACAACUUUCUUUUGGUACCUGAUCUAAACCAUGCCCGUCUGUACCAGCUAUCCCUUGACAAUGUCACGCCUCAGUUUCUUGCCCUUGACCUUCAAGUAGACAGACCAGUCGACGCCGUGUAUGAUCCUGUAAAUCUGUACAUGUACUGGACAGAGGCUAACCUCAAAGUUAUCAAGAGGAGUAAACUGGAUGGCACAGAGGUCCAGACUCUACUGACAUUUUCACAAGAGUAUCCUGAACGGCUUGCCAUAGACUUUAGCACUGGGAAUCUGUUCUACACGACAUCGGUCGUUGGUGACUCUGCCAGUAGGGAUGGUAAGGUCGGAGUGCUGAGGAUCAUUCAGGACCAAACCUUCAAUAAAGUGCUUAUAAAAGAUGAAGGCGCUGCCGACUUCAUUCAGGGACUGCUAGUGUUUCCAAAAAACGGAUUGCUGAUUUGGAGUGGAACGGACUUUGAUGGCCCGAAAUCUGUUGGAGCCAUACAUAAGUCAUUCAUGGACGGUUCUGCAAUCACGUUACUGGUAUCUGACGUUAACAGCCCACAGGGCCUCACCAUGGAUUAUGAAACCGGACGUGUAUACUGGGCGUCAGGCGAUGGCGUAGAGUACAGCGACUUGUCUGGGAACAAAGGCACACUGGUGAAGAGCUCAGAAAUGUUGACAGAUUUAGUAGUUACAAGCAAUGUCAUUUACUACACGGGUAGAAAUACCAGAAAAGUUAUAAAGAUUGACAAAAGUACCGGAGCCAAUAUUCAUUGGUUGGAUAACACUCCAGAAGUGGGCAGCGUGUUCUCCAUCGACAUAUACAACGGACAGCAACAACCAGCUAAUGCUGCAUGUACCAAUAACGGCCUGUGUGAUGUAUUCUGUCUGCCAACCCUCACGGGAAAAACAUGCGGCUGCCAAGAUGGAGUCUACUUACAGCAAGACAAACGAACAUGUGGAUCAACUGUGACAUGUGAUACGACAAUACCCAAUGGGCUGAUAUCGUCCUUCUGUACGGGGAUAGUGGCUGAGACCUGUACGUAUCAAUGUAAUUCCGGUUAUCAUAAGAACGUCGAUCAUUCCACCAUUACUUGUCUCUCUGUGGGCGCUUGGACAACAUUACAAACUAGCCUCUGUCUAGCGGACUCCCCUCCCUCAGCUGUAUCGAUAAUACCAGUCAUCGCCGGGGCCGUGGGGGCGGUGAUAUUCAUUUUUAUUGUUAUCGUCAUCGUCGUAUGUUUAUGGAAGAGGAAACGUAAAGCACAGACAUUCCAAGAAUCCAUGUAUAUGAGCAGCAUGAGUAGGCCCACAGUGGUACAGAAUCAAUAUGGGAUGUCCCAGGAUAUAAACAUCUCAGGUGCUCAAGUGGUAGUGACACCUCCUGGUUACGUUGAUGAGAACAAAAUCAAUGCCGCCUACCUCCAUCCUCCCGAACAGCGUGCAAGGUGUCCUUCACCUGAUCGCGUGUACACUGAACUUCCGCAUGCUUACUCACAGGCAGAUCCAAACUACAUCCACCCAAUGGAAAAUGAACACGACGAAGCACAACCAAAUCCAUAACAUGCAGCCAUUGAAAGUUUAGGCCGAUUUACCCAAUACAUUUUCUGUGCUUAUUGAAUUGUCUGAUUUAGCACUUUGUAUGAAAAGUGUUCUCUGUUCAUGUUUUAUCGUUUAACCUAAAAAGAAACACCAAAAGUGUUGACGUUAAAUUAACUGAUAAGGGUUUAAACAAAUUAUAUUUUCUGGUUGAUACUAUACACUUCCGUGUCGUAAAUAUUUUAACAUAUAACUAUUGAUAUGUGCAUAUGAAUGCUUGAUUUGUUAUACAGUUUCGUACUUUGUUACACAUGUUUUCAUAUAUAAAACACGUCAUAUUUAGAAAAAAGUUAGAUGUACUCAUUAUAUCGCAUACCUUUCGAUACCAAAGUAUGAAUGGGUACCAGUAUGUUGCAAUUUGUUCAAUAUUUCGCGGGAUGUCCAUUGAUAAUUGAUAAACAUGGCGUGAAGUUUAUCUAUCCUUGGGCAUUCCGGUCUUUGAUAAUUUGCCAAACUCAAACGGGAUUGAACAUAAUGUUAUUAAAUUCAUGCCGUAAUAAACAGCGGUAGCAUUGUAAGACCCUCUAAUGCAUUAACGUGUCUUAGUGCACCAAAAGAAUAUUAAACACAUAAAAUUGCAUAGAAAUGUGUGUGAUCAAUGUUAUUUCGAUGCAAUACACCACGUUGAUGCACCGAGGGGUCUAAAAUAGCAUACACCUGGCUAAACAUUAAAGAGACAUACCAUCCCAUUGAUAAAUUUAUAUUCUAAAAGGAAAACGAACCAGUACCCUUAAACCGUUGAUAUCUGAGAGGUUGUAGGCUGUGAACAUCAUAUUGAUAAAUAUAUAAGAAUGGUGUCGUUAUCAACCAUUUGUAUGAUAUAAGGCUUAAAUUUUUAAAUUUGUAGUGAACUUAUUUAGGCAAUGAAUGUUUUAGCAAAUGUUGUUAUGGUCCUAUAAUACGCAUUACUAAUGAUGACAAACUUCAUAAAGCCCGACAGAGUUUUAUGUAAAUUUGACAGCAAUAGAAAUGUGUUUGCUAAAAUAUUUAUUAUUUAUAUUUCCUUUUUGAU
rnacentral:misc_RNA from 1 species